AAGAAUAAAAAAGCUCUUUAACUGAAUUAUUCGACUUUUAUUGGUUGAAAAAAUGUGCCAGGAAUAGGCGAGUACAUCAGGAAGCUGAUCCCUGAAAAGAGGCGAUCGCUAUAAAUUGAACAAAAGAAAAUUAUCCUAAUGGCAAUGUGAAUACGGGGUCCCACUGGGUUUUGACUCUGCUAUGGCUCGUAUGACCUCAAGACGCUCUACUCAUCUUGCCUUCUGAAGUGGAUGAUUAGUCGAUCUUUUAACCUUCGAAGAUUUCCG
rnacentral:lncRNA from 1 species